rnacentral:rRNA from 1 species
GUUAUCGUUUAUUUGAUAGUACCUUACUACUUGGAUAACCGUGGUAAUUCUAGAGCUAAUACAUGCCAAAAACCCCGACUCCGGAAGGGGUGUAUUUAUUAGAUAAAAAGCCAACGCCCUUCGGGGCUCCGUGGUGAUUCAUGAUAACUUCACGAACCGCAUGGCCUUGCGCCGGCGGUGGUUCAUUCAAAUUUCUGCCCUAUCAACUUUCGAUUGUUGGGUAUUGGCCAACAAUGGUUACGACGGGUAACGGGGAAUUAGGGUUCGAUUCCGGAGAGGGAGCCUGAGAAACGGCUACCACAUCCAAGGAAGGCAGCAGGCGCGCAAAUUACCCAAUCCCGAUGCGGGGAGGUAGUGACAAUAAAUACUGAUACAGGGCUCUUUUGGGUCUUGUAAUUGGAAUGAGUACAAUCUAAACACCUUAACGAGGAACAAUUGGAGGGCAAGUCUGGUGCCAGCAGCCGCGGUAAUUCCAGCUCCAAUAGCGUAUAUUAAAGUUGUUGCAGUUAAAAAGCUCGUAGUUGAACCUUGGCCCUGGCCGGCCGGUCCGCCUCACCGCGUGCACUGGUCCGGCCGGGGCUUUCCUCCUGGGGAUCCGCAUGGCCUUCGCUGGNCGUGCCGGGGAACCAGGACUUUUACUUUGAAAAAAUUAGAGUGUUCAAAGCAGGCAUCCGCUCGAAUACAUUAGCAUGGAAUAAUGGAAUAGG